ensembl:piRNA 21ur-3634 ncRNA
UAGCAGCCUCUUAACUACACA